rnacentral:rRNA from 1 species
CCCUUAGAUGUCCUGGGCCGCACGCGUGCUACACUGACACUUACACCGAGUUUUUCCAAUGCCGAAAGGCCAUUGGUAAUCAGCAAUAAGUGUCGUGAUGGGGAUAGAUCUUUGGAAUUAUUGAUCUUGAACGAGGAAUGCCUAGUAAUCGUAGGUCAUCAGCCUGCGAUGAUUACGUCCCUGCCCUUUGUACACACCGCCCGUCGCUCCUACCGAUUGAAUGUUCCGGUGAAUAAUUCGGACUGCGGUUGCGGGGUCUGUACCACUGCAAUUGCGGGAAGUUUAGUGAACCUUAACAUUUAGAGGAAGGAGAAGUCGUAACA